CCCGGCACGGGGUGGCGGUGUUCCGGCCGCUCCGGCGUGGCGGUCGCGGCGGGCGAGUUGUCGCGCCCGCCGUAGAUCUCGGCUGCGGUGGCGAGG
rnacentral:tRNA from 2 species